AAAACUUUAAGUUAAAUAAACUAAUUACUUUCAAAGUUUUAAAUAAGAUUUUCUUAAGUUUUA
rnacentral:tRNA from 1 species